CAUCAAACCCAUUUUUUCUUUAAUUUAAUCAUCUUUGCAAACCUCACCAGACACCAGCAGAGGGAUCUGCCUCUCAAUUCACCAGUCCAAUCUUCACUACUCUCUCUCUCUCUCUCUCUCUCUCUAUAUAUAUAUAUAUAUGUAAGCAUAAUCCAUAGAGGAGUUGUCUCGAAUACAUACAGCGGUGAACAUAUGGACGAUAUUGGAAUUUGAAAGAGAAGUUCGCUAUGGAUCUCUCAGCAGCAACUUCGUCUUCUCUCACAUCGGCCUCUUCACCCUCGGCUUCCUCGACCUCGUGGUUUUCCGGCAUCGUUCGCGGCCGCGGAGACCGUUCCGGAAGCGUGAAAAUGGCGAGCAGCUCCGCUGGCGGCGGCGGCGGCGGCGACGGCCUCUGCCCAAUCAAUCGGAAGAAGCAGUUCCGUGGCGUGAUGUUCAAGUACGGCCCCAAGCCCAUUCAGGUUGCUUUUAAAACAGGUGAUUAUAAACAGCAAGUUAUUUUUAUUGGUGGAUUAACAGAUGGAUUUUUGGCUACUGAAUACUUAGAACCUCUGGCAAUUGCUUUGGACAAAGAGAAAUGGUCUCUGGUUCAGUUUUUGCUCUCAUCUUCUUAUAGUGGAUAUGGCAUCUCAAGCUUGAAGCAGGAUGCCAUGGAGCUUGACCAGCUGAUCAGUUAUUUGAUUAACAAGGAAGAUUCAGAGGGUGUGGUGCUGCUUGGGCACAGUACUGGCUGUCAGGAUAUUGCAUAUUACAUGCGGACAAGUGCUGCAUGCUCCAGAGCAGUGCGUGCUGCUAUCUUGCAGGCUCCUGUUAGUGAUCGUGAAUAUAGAGCAACUCUUCCUGAGACAGCUGCUAUGAUUGACUUGGCUUCAAAAAUGAUCAGUGAAGGCCAGGGGUCAGAAUUGAUGCCAAGGGAAGCAAAUCCAGAUGCUCCAAUCACUGCUUAUAGAUAUCACUCCCUUUGUGCAUACAAUGGGGAUGACGACAUGUUUAGUUCCGAUCUUAGUGAUGAUCAGCUGAGAAUGAGACUUGGGCACAUGUCUAAUACUCCUUGCCAGGUUAUCUUUUCAAUGUCUGAUGAAUAUGUGCCAGAUUAUGUUGACAAGAAAGCACUAGUUGACAGAUUGUGCAGAGCAAUGGGUGGUGCAGAGAAAGUUGAAAUCCAAUGGGGAAACCAUUCCUUGUCUAAUAGAGCUGAAGAAGCUGUCCAGGCCGUAAUAAACUUUGUUAAAAGAGAGGGACCAAGUGGAUGGGAUGAUCCCUGGAACUAACAUGACUUGUUCAUGGACCACAAAGACAAAAGCAGAAAGGAAAGAAAUGAUAGGAAAAGAACAAUUAGUGGACAAAGCUCAAUAGGUAAAAGGGCAUUGGUAAAGUUGAGGAAAUGUGACAGAGAAGAGAGAGAGAUGGAAGGAACAGCUCACAAGGUUUGAUGAUGGGUUGGCCUUUUAAGAAAAACAACAAUUAUUAGGUUGUGAAGAAGGGUACAAUUUGCAGGAAAUUACUAUCAAUAUGUUUCGGCAAUUCAGUUGCUUUUGGGGCACUUUUUUUCUUAUUUUACUAAUAUAUUACUAUCAUUAGUAGCACAUUCUAUUACUUUCAAAAAUUAUUUUCAUUUCCCUCUGAAUUUUGUAUGCAUCUCUACUUUUCUUUCAAGCAUAAUAUGCACAGAUCUUUUGGUCAA